rfam:Raoultella planticola strain GCSL-DIFS-295 CFSAN029441_contig0014, whole genome shotgun sequence.
UGGCAAAACCGGGGUGAAAAUUGCGUGAACGUCUGCGCGCGCGUAUACUUUCAGCGUUGACGUAAUACAGUGUACUUGCGGUUACCAGCCGUAAACAUACUGAGAAAAACCUCGCUCCGGCGGGGUUUUGU